rnacentral:lncRNA from 1 species
UUGAAUAGAGAGCCCUCAGCCGUGCAAAUUCAAGAAGCACAACAGCGACGAGUCAUAGGUCUUCCUCAUAAUGCACAUGCACUGCACCUAUUUUCUCUUCCGAACGCGGAGAUCACUUCAGACAACAAGACGAAUUAGGGUCAACAUCACGCGUAACCUAGCUACAUGUGGGCAUUCAGAGGACAGGACACCAGUGGACGAUUCUGGCUGUGGACAAAACAUGAAAAGCAGUACUAGGAUGCUCUUUUGACUUUAGGGGUUUAACAGUUAUAUAUUCAACUUCCUGUUGGCAAAAAAAAUAAAUUUAAAUAACUGAAUGACAUUGUAACGUUUUAAUUCUCUACAAUUUCAUAGUUAAUUUGUAUUUGAAUUGAUGGUUACAAAGUAUUAUGUUAUAUCUGUUAAAUAAAAAAAUUGAAACCUCCCAAUCCAAGUGCUAUACAAGGAGGUGUUAUCUUCCUUAUUUCAUACACCAAUGACCAAACUUUAAAAGCUCUCUAAGUUCUCUUUAAGUCUCUAUAUUCUCUCUUUGUUUUCAAAAGAGUAUUGCUCUUAGUAGUUUAAGUAAUUAUUUUCUAGCUCGGUGAUAGAAUUGUAAACAUUCUUAGUUCCUCUAAAGUAGAGAAGAAGUGCUAAUCAGUUACUUUCAACUGUUGUAUCCUGAAAGAGGAACGUUAUUAAUCUUCUUG